rnacentral:rRNA from 1 species
UACAGAGGGUGCGAGCGUUAAUCGGAAUUACUGGGCGUAAAGCGUGCGUAGACGGUUAUUUAAGUCGGAUGUGAAAGCCCCGGGCUCAACCUGGGAAUUGCAAUGGAUACUGGCAGGCUGGAGUAUGGUAGAGGAAGGUGGAAUUCCCGGUGUAGCAGUGAAAUGCGUAGAGAUCGGGAGGAACAUCAGUGGCGAAGGCGGCCAUCUGGGACAACACUGACGCUGAAGCACGAAAGCGUGGGGAGCAAACAGG